GUGCUCGCUUCAGCAGCAUAUAUACUAAAACUGGAACGACACAGAGAAGAUUAGCAUGGCCCCCGUGCAAGGAUGACGCGAAAAUUCGUGAAGCAUUCCAUAUUUUU
rnacentral:snRNA from 1 species